rnacentral:ncRNA from 1 species
AUAAAAGCAAUGAAAAAGAGGAGUAAAAAUUUUGAGGCAUUAUUGGAAACUCGCAAUAAAAGCUGAGGAGUACGGUUCUUUUUGUUAAAUGUUAGAUUUAGAGAGAACUAGAAAGAGAGAGGGAGCAGCUGAAAACCCUUAUGCAGGAAAUUUUGAAGGUAGCUUUUGAGCUUCUUUAGUGAAGUAGCAGUAGCUAAAGACGGUUUAUCUGAAUCGUUAUUUAAAUUAAGAGUCCAUUAGAGCAAUAUAGAUUGUUUGUGUGGAAAUAAAGGUGGUACCGCGAGCUUUCGUCCUUUUG